GUUUUUCAGGGAAAGUCUGACCAGUAAAGAGUAUCACACCCCCGUCUCCUGCUGGCUUCUCCAUCACCCUUUGCCAACUUCAAGUGUUAGAAACUCCCCAGACAGAAUGAAUACCAGAAAGGAGGACUCUUGGGGAAGCGGUGAUGGAUGAGACAGCAGCAAUGUUUGAAAGCAAAGCAUGUCUACGGACAAGAUGCAGUGUGCUCCGGGUAGUAUGGCUUUCGGCAAAGCAUGUUGGGAAGGAGACACUGUGAAGAGGGGGCUGUCCCAUCAUCGGAAACAUGAAGUUCUAACCCCAAGGCUCCCUGAGGGGAAGCAGCUUCUCCUGUCACCGUGUCACAGGGUAACUGGAUCUAAAUGAACCUCUCCACACACCCCUGAGGGCAUGACUGACAGGGCUGGGUGGAACUGGCUUGUCAAUCUGGAGAAUUUCAUGACAAAAUCCAUGACUUGGUUUCAGUUCUUUGGCAGCAACUUGUUCAGUUUAGGAUGAAAAUCUGCCUCAGCAAACACAGUGUUCAGAUUACAGUGCAGGGGCAGAGACAAGGUUGCCCAGUGGAAGGACUAACACAGUGUAUCUGCCUGGAAUGAGAGACACUAAUUACAGCUCUUUUCUCCCGUGUUGACCGAGGCAGCCUGGGUCUAGACCCACUGUCUACAGAAACACACUGUGAACUGCAAAUGUGCUUUAGCAAAUUUAGUAGUCACAUUUUGAAAAGUUUUAAAAUAAUCUUAGGUGAAUUCUAAUAGUAUAUUCUCUUUGUAAAACUGUACUUUACCCGACAUAAAAUAGUAUUAUUGUCA
rnacentral:lncRNA from 1 species